rnacentral:lncRNA from 1 species
ACCUUCAUCCUGAUCGUCUCCUAAAAGGUCGUAUCCUCCGAUCGUAGCUGAUCGUAACCAUUCAAGUUAACGUGUCGAUUUACACCGACUUCUUUCAAAACGGGCGGAGACGAACAAGUGAAAGGUUUUUAGACGUCAUUUCACCCCGAUGACACCAUGGAUGAGGAGAUGCUGAUUCUAGAAGUCUAGAAGUAGAUUUCCUCCUCUGGAAGGACACAAUCUACUGCUUAUAUGUCUAUGUGUCUGUCUUUAGAGAGACAACUCGUUAUCGUGAGAUUGAACGUGAAUCUGCGGGUUCUUGUGAGUUCUCAUGAUUCCUGCUGUCUGUAAUCCGCCACGAAAUUUGCCUCAAAAAUGAUCCGGUAGAAAUUGGCGGACGGUGAAAAUCGGAUCAGAGCUGUUCUGGAUGCGGUGGAAAUUAGGGGUCAGAUUGGCGUUGAGGAAGCUCCGGCUGCAGGUCAGCCCACGGGGACUCAUGGGAACACGGGUCAUUCUGCUCUUGUCUGUGGUUGGCGUCCAUGUUGGCUGAUCGUCUCUCUGCAGAUCUGUAUUUAAGGACCGUCGUCUGUUAAUGAUGUUCUCAGACUUCCUGAAAGAGUCUUCAUGUUGGUCUGUGAGAGGAUGAAGAACUGAAGAGUCUCUGAUCUUCUUCUUCUUCGAUCAUCUCUGAUGGUUCUCUCUCAGCUGACUGAAGGUUCUGGUUUCUCUUCUCAAACGGACCGAACUCCCCGCUGUGACUCUGAAGCUCAGCGCCGUUUGAAGCGUCUGUGUUUGGACUCGUGUUUAAGGUGUGAGCUCUGCUCUGAUGUGAGGACCUUCAGAGGGCUCCUCUAAGUCCACAUCCUGGAGUCCAUCAUUAAAGUUCUGCUCUUUUUAUCACCGAGUCGGUCAGAGCUGAAGUUUUCUGGAGAUUUUCAGACUCUGAUCCGUCUGUAUUCAUGAGAUUUUAGGAAACAAAGACGUCGAUCCCUCGUCCAGGUGAAUCACACCUGUGCCCUGAUGAUGAGGGGGGGUCUACUGGUUCAGGUUUUCCUUCAGUAGGUCUUCUUUGUGGUUUAGCGUCACCAUGGUGCUUUAAUAUCUAACGGUGUUUUGGACUCACAGUCUGAAGAUAUAAGAGAGUUCAGAAAACCUCAACCUAGGGCCCAGAGAUACGGGAAAAAGUUGUUAAUGACUCGACAUAAUUUACAGUCCACAUUACUCUGCUUCAUGUCCGACCUCCAAAAACCAAAAUACCUCCACACCACCGACGUUUUCCUAACGCCAGUGUUGUGGUUGACAUUGAUGUGGUCAUCUGUUGAGCCUUCAUGGUCAUUUCUGUCGGGGGUAGCACUCAUUUUCUUUGUUUCUCACCAACAGUGCUGUCGGCUUCACCUGUUAAAGUGCUAUGGUUGGGUGGAGCUGCUGUCUGCUACCACGCUGCAGUUGGUUGAUACUUGGUUCUAAUUCAGAACAUGAUUGGUUCAGACCCGGAGACACUCCCCUUUUCAUUGGCUGUUCUUAUAGUCGACCGAAACAUGUCAGAAUGACGACUAUUGAAAAGCAUAUUGAUCAUGUUUAUAUUGAUAUAUUGACCCUCAGCACUUCUUCAAACUAACGAAGGUUAACGAAUAAAUUUAUGAAACUUUGAAACCUGAACUGUUUCAGAGUUUCCUGCUGCGUCGACUCAAAUAUGGACUUUAGUUUAUUUUAACUUCUUAUAAAUGUAUUUUCUGAACAUGGAGACAUGAAGAUCUUCUCGAUGAGGUAGGAACAGUUUUCUCAUGUGGUUCUCCUCGCUGCUCCUCAGUCUGUCUCUGGUUUCUUCUCCUCAUGAAGCUCCUCUUUUGUUUACUCUGAACGUUGUAGCAGGUAACAGACACACUCUGGUUUACACACACACACACACACACACACUUCCUUGACUUCAUCAGCCUCAUCUUUGAGGACUGGUUUUGAGGUCCUCCAUAAUUCAGCGCCCUCUUAUAUCGCUGACAGUCUGCUGUCACCUCGUGCCCCCGCUCGCUCUCUCAGAUCUUCCUCUUCCUGCGCGGGUUUCUGAGGACUUCCUGUAGUGUUGCACAAGAACGCGUGUGAGGCGGCUUUAAGUUUUUAUGGUCCCCACCCCCAGACGGUCCUGAUGAAAGGGGAAGAAACAGGACCUUCAGAUCCUGAUCGGAGGGUCUUUUCAGUUUCCUCUGGUUUUGAUCAUAGACUGUAUCUAGAAUAGACGCCGUCUGCCUCCUCUCUCUGAGAACAGCGCCCUCUGGUGACAGGCUGCAGUAUAGGUCAUAAGGCUUUUUGUUUGUUUUUUUCAUAUAGGCUUUUUUCUGUACAGCUCCAUUUUUAAAAGUUAUUAGGUGGCGUCUGUGAUUUCCUCUUCCUGUUUGGCUCUGCGGUGGCGGUGGCGCUCCGUGCCCCCUCUGAUGCUCCGCCCUCUCCCUCCUGACGCUCUCUGGCAGCUUGUUUGCAGAUGAUUUGAUGUUAUUUUCAUCCUCUCUGACACCUCGUUGAUAAACUCGUACAGAAUCAAACCUUAAAAAAACAAAAACAGAGACUGUUCUGCCGUUUAUUAGAGACGGCGAAGGUCCCCCCCCCCCCCCCCGUGCUGGUCUGUCAUUCAGAGAGAAAGCACGCCAUGUCCCACUUAACCACUGAUCAUUCAUCUUGUGUGUGAAAGCAGCUCCUGACAUCUCCGGGCUCGCUCUGCUCACACUUGAUCUUUUUGUUUAUCCUCCUCCACGCCGGCGUGUGCGACUGCGGCGAGCGUCUGCAUCAGUAAAUAUUUGUCUCUCUUGACGGAGACGAAGCAGCAGAAGCGCUCGGAUGUGUCAGCGCUGAAUACAGCUGUCCAGAUUCUGAUGAGGAAGCAAUUAACUCUGCUUUUCAUGGGAGUCCGGCCCGUCGGCUUCAUAAUGGACCGGACGAUGACACCGAGUCCUCGUCGUCUUCAAUCACGUGUCGGGUCGGACGGGCGCUCAGAGGAAAUUCAAUCAUGAGAGAAGAUUACAACUCAGAACACGUGAACCCUCACCCUCAAUUUUCACCACAUCCUGAAUGGCGGCAAUUUCCACCGUCCGACGAUUCCUACUGGAUCUGUUGGUGAGGCGAUUUUUGUGGCCGAUUACAGACACACAAGAACCCGCAGAUUCACGUUCAAUCACACGAUUACGAGUUGUCUCUCUAAAGACAGACAUAUAGACAUAUAAGCAGUAGAUUGUGUCCUUCCAGAGGAGGAAAUCUACUUCUAGACUUCUAGAAUCAGCAUCUCCUCAUCCAUGGUGUCAUCGGGGUGAAAUGACAUCUAAAAACCUUUCACUUGUUCGUCUCCGCCCGUUCGUCUCAGUAACUCUUUCAGUGUCAACGUCACAGAUUCUUUAUUUAACGUUAAAAUCACUUUCAUUUAGAUUAAAAAAAAAAACCAUGAAGUUUGUUUUUUUAAUAUUUAAAGAUAUUAAAAAUCUUAUUUGUCUGAACCAACGACAAAAACAGCAGUCAACAAGUCAACGAGUGAAUCCUGCUUUUGGACUAAUCCGAGGUCACGCUGAUUAUCCCUCUGUUUGUUAGGCUGUCUUUUUCUCUGCUCUCUCCCUCUCUCUCUCUCUCUCUCUCUCCCUCUCCCUCUCCCUCUCUCUCUCUCUCUCUCUCUCUCUCUCUCUCUCUCUCUCUCUCUCUCUCUCUCUCUGUCUCUCUCUCUCUCUCUCUCUCUCUCUCUCUCUCUCCCCCUCUCUCAGUACAUGAUUUUAAAGGACAGCCCCCUGUAAAAAAAUGGUUUAAAGUAAAAUCCUAAAUUUACAUGAGUGUGUGUGUGUGUGUGUGUGUGUGUGUGCGUGUGUGUGUGUGUGUGUGUGUGUGUGUGUGUGUGUAUCUUCAGUGUCAGGAUGGGGGGGUGAAUGUGCAGUAUUAUAGGUCGGGGUGUUGGGUUGUUGGGGGUUCAGUGCCGACCGCAGCAGGAUGACUCAUCAUCAGCGUCUUUAUUUCCAGGAACUUUAAAGUGUAAAAUCGUGUUAAAAACACAGACAGAGUUUUUCUGUUUCAGUGUUUGUCUGAGAUUAUGGCGUUUAUAUAAUCCAGAUUUCACAGGAACUUUAAAAGCAGGAGUGAAAGAACAGAGCGGAGGACUGGGUCGGUUCUGUUUGACUGACAGGCCCGUGUGUUUUGGACUCUGAAUAAUCAGCUCUGGUUCUGGUUCUGGUUUUAGUAAUUGGUUCCUUCUAAUCAAGAGUUUUGGACGUGGUGGUUAUUUAAACGACUUUAACUCUCAGAGAAACAGAAGAAUCUCCUUCAGUUCCUGCAGAUGAAGGUCUCUGACGUUUUCAGACUCCUCGAUGUUCUCCUCCGGUCUCAGACCCACCUGUGCGGAUACUUGGCCGAACAGCCCGCUGGAUAAUAAAUGUUGUUUAUUCGUCUGUGACAGUUUUAUGGGACUCUGACAACACUUUUAUGGAGGUGUCUGACUAAGACCGCAGCUUUUAUCGCUUCAUUUACGACUCGCUUUGAUUCAUCUAAACGCUGGUUUCCAUGUUUGAGAGCGCGGGUAAACAAAUCCUAAAUAAUCAGACCGCUUUGUAAAUCAAAGUCUAACUUAGACUCAGAGUUCAAGUCCUGGACUUCAGUCUGUUUCUGGGACGUCUGCGGCUGCAGCUAGUUCCUCGUCUAAGCUAACAGUGGACUGUUGCUAAGCUAACACAAAUCGUAAUUAUUACGACGGGACGGUGGUAUGAGUUUUCUCUUUGUUCAGAGUCAGAGGAACCAACUUUCAGUGACGAAGACAAACUGUGUUCGCUGUAAUGUUAGUGAACGUAACAACGUGAUCGCCUCUCGUCCAAUCAGAAGACUCCUGAGGCUGGAGGAGCAGCAGCAAAGACCUCCUCAGUACAGGAACGAGGAGGAGGAGGAGGAGGAGGAACAGGCAUGUUAACAGUCAUUUAUGUCAUGUGUUGAAGGGAUUCGUCUGGUUGGGAUCAGCUGAUGUCCGAGCUUGACUUUGUGACCUGCCUGGACUAGCACUUUGCUCUGAGUAAGACUCUUAGAAACGUUUUCAGAGCGAAGUGAACGCUUCAGUAACAGAGACAAACGCUGAUCCUCCUCAGAGUUCACUUCAGAUGUUAAACUAUAUAAAAAUAAUAUCAAUAAAGUUAUCAUUAUUGUUAUUAUUAUUAUUAUUGUUAUUAUUAUUAUUAUUGUUAUUAUUGUUAUUGUUAUUAUUAUUAUUAUUAUUAUUGUUAUUAUUGUUAUUAUUAUUAUUGUUAUUAUUGUUAUUAUUAUUAUUAUUGUUAUUAUUGUUAUUAUUGUUAUUAUUAUUAUUAUUGUUAUUAUUGUUAUUAUUAUUAUUAUUGUUAUUAUUGUUAUUAUUGUUAUUAUUAUCACAGAUCAAGAUGAUUUAGAUGCUGUUAGGAAACCUGUCAGAACCACCGGGGCGCCGUCUGAGAAACCACAGCUGGUUGUUUGAAACAAACAAAACUUAAAAAACUUUAAAAAGACAAAUAAAUAAAAUCCUCAGUAACUCCGUCAAAUAAUCUGAAUUGGAUCAUUUUUGUCGGUGGUCCAGCGCCCGGCGGAUAAAGGAGGAGGGUUGGUAACGUGACAUUAAGAAAGUUCAUUUGUAGUUCUGAACAUGUUUGGGAUGUUUUUUACUCACUUUUUUACUCACACUUUGUCUCUCCCUCGACGUCGUUCCUCUCUCUUCCAGCGUCCAUUACAAUUUAGCCAAAUAUGCUAAUUAGACGAUGACGUCAUUUAGCAACUUUUAGUAACAGCCAAUAGCUUCUUCCCUUACUGAGGAGUUGGAAACACUUGUUAAUCGCUCCUUUUCUGAUCAUCGUGUUCUGGUCGCCGCAGGUCUCCAUGUUUGCGUGCCGACUAAGAGCACCAGAAGAAAACCAAUCAGCUGCCUCUCUCUCUGACUGUUUCCUCCGGAUAAAGAGAGCCGUUCUUGGUUCUUUUCAUUCAGCCUCUCUUUCUGCUCCAGGACUCGGGACUCUGACCCGGGCCUGUUACUUUCCCCCGCGCCCCUGGAUGAUGGAGCGCUCAGAUUGGACACCAUCUCUUUGUCUGCGUCGUCCCUCAUCCUCCUUGUUGAGCGUAAGUGGAGCGAAUCGCACAUCCUGGAGUCUGUAGCCUUCGGUCAGCGGAGACCCGGGUCCCCUCAGGACUCAGUCUGAAGGUUUUUAGUCCGGCUGAAGUCGGAGGAGGAGUGUUUUCAGAGAGUGCUUCAGAUCUGCUGUCAGGGACGCUCAGGAGCGUCGACUCGGCUUAAUGAAAGGGAAUAAUUCAUGACUCAGCAGGAUUUUUUUUCUCUCUCUCAUCAUUUUUUUGUCUGCAGAAAAUUAUUAUUCUCAUAAUCAAUUAAUGUUCAUCUUUAAAAUGUCAGAAAACGGCAGAAGAUGUUUGUAACCAAAGACGGCUCUGAAAACCAGGAGGAGAGUCAAAAAACGAGGAGUUUAAAAACCUUCAUGAUGAUAAAAAAGGAGAAAAUCCUCUGAUUAAAAACUCAAACGAAGGAAAAGUUUAACUCUUAAACGGUUCAGAAGUGGAGCAACAACACGUCCUGAAAAAACGGGAUUAUUGACGUCGAAUUAGAGAAAAAUCUCCAUGAAGGCAGAGCAGCAGUUUGUACAAAUAUGAGAACCGGACUGUCGGGGUUUUCGUUUGACUCUGAGGGUCAGAAAGAUCGUCACGUUCAGACGUAUCAACGCGAAAAGUUCGUCGAUUCUUGUGCUGUUUUGAAAGUUGACUUCACUUUGGUGGACAUUGUUGUGCGAGCGCCGACAGCGGAGACCCUUUUUAAAUAAAUUUGCGUAUUUAUAGGCGGGCGUGACGGGGGGGAGGGGCCGGUCACUCCGACAUCUACGCUCAAUUCCACGCUGAUUGGGAUGCUAAUGCUAACUUUCGUGAUUCCUGCGAUCGCCGUUUUUUAGUUUAAGAUCCACACAAGUGUUGAUACAGGAGACCCCAGGUUUUAGUCUGUACCCAGAUCAGCUUUUCAUUACAGUCACUCCACAGCAAAUACAGUAGAAAGAGGAGAUAAAGUUUGUUCACUUUAUACAACACUAACUGGUAAACUAGUAAACUAGUGUGAAUGUAAACGGUUCUUCUCAGUUUGAGGAGGUUCUUCAGACUCACAAAGAUCUUUAGUUUUCAUCUUCAGUUCCUCUGUCUGUGAAACGGAGAGGAGUCUUCCUCCAUCCAACACCACCCUCCAUGAAAGGAGACUGACACCAUAAAUAAACCAUGAUCAUCUGAAGACCAGACCCCCCUGUCCCCCUGUCCUCCUGUCCUCCUGUCUCCGUGUUUCAGACCUCCUCUCUGUUUCUCUGUAGAGUUUAAACGACAGCAGCUCCGACGGUUCAUGUCACUGGGAUUAAAGCGAGGCGUCCCCUGUGCCGUUUGGACACAUAUUUACAUGCUUUACAUUCAGCGGCUGCUCUCCUCAUAAAUGAAGAUGAAGUGGGCCUCCUCCUCCUGCUGCUGCUGCUGCUGCGGUGGAGGAGAAGGAGAAGAGGAGGAGGAGGAGGAGGGAUGGAUUCAGCCUCACGUCCAGUGUCUCUUUUUUAAUCAAUCCCUCCUUUCUUUGCUCCUACUGUCUGAUUAGCCUUUCAUUGAGUUCGGUGGGGAAUAGCUGCAGCAUUCACACACACACACACACACACACACACUUCCUGCUACACUUAUUAAAGUGAGCAAACACACGCUCGCUCGCUCAGAUGUUAACUCAGAGAAAAUACACGGCUCUCCAGUUCUCACCAGAGGAAACAAGAGCAGCACAACUGUACUUGUUAGGGAGAAAUCCGUGUUUCUCACUGAGCCAUUGAUUAUUUAAUCCCUCAUUUACAUAAUCCUGACACUUUUAUCAAACACUCCUCUGCAACUCUCCGCACAAAUUUGUCAACAACCACAAACAAUUACCCACAGCAGCAGCCGCCGCCGCCACCGCCGCCACCGCCGCCAUAUCCGCUUUGAUUCCUCCACAGUUUUAACGUCUUCCACGGCCGCCUUCAGAGGCGUAUCUGAGGGGGGUGGAGGGAAGGGCGAGAGGCCCCCCUGCUGCUGCUCCAGUGUUUCAGAUGACACUGCAGAUAAGAAUAAAAAUAACUUUAUUUAAUUUCCCCUCGAGGAUCAAGACAGUUAUUUUUAUUCUUAUUCUUUCAUAUAUAGAUAAAUAAAUAUAAAUAUGAAAAGGGGCGCCCUCUGGUGAAAAACCAUGAACACAUGACCUCUGGAUGCCCUUCCUAUAGCAGCAAGCAGCCGGCGAGAGCCCUGUCAGGACUUUUUCAUUAUUAUUAUUACAACUAUUCUAACUAUGAUAAUUAUCAUUGUUAUUACUAUAAUUAUCAUUAUUAUUACUGUUAUUAUUAUUAUUAUUAUUAUUAUUAUUAUUACAACUAUUCUAACUAUGAUAAUUAUCAUUGUUUUUACUAUAAUUAUCAUUAUUAUUACUGUUAUUAUUAUUAUUAUUAUUAUUACAAAAUUUACGAACUUCUUCCCCCUCUAGACGGGCUCAAAAACUCAGACGGGUCGUGCCUGGGUCAAAAGUGCGUAUUUUGCCGUGCCCCUAUAGAUUUGAAAAUAAAUGACUCACUAGCGCACCCUAGAGUUUUCGUGCUCGCAGCGUUUCAGAUAUAACUUCCCUUACACUGGUUCCAUCUCCACAAGAUUUUAGUCAUUUGAUCAAGGUCCUGUACCGGACAAUUCAACACCAAACUUACGUUUGUAUGUUGUAGCGCCACCUGGUGGCAGAGGGGAAUGUGUUUUUCGGUUAAUGGCCUGUAACUUCUUCUUUAUUGAUGGGAUGCAGCUGAUAUUUGUUCAGGAUUUACCUGAUGAGGAACCAGAUUAGCCCAAAAAUCAGCACCUUGUGCGCUCUAUUGUUAACAUCUGUGUUUGACUGUUAUGUUGAAUUAUGUGGUUUGUUUAUGUUCCUUCAAAAACCCCUGAGGGACAAAUAAAGUGAAUUAAAUCAAAUUAAUUUAAAUUCAAUUAAAAUGUAAACAAAGCGCCUCCUUCAUAAAUGAUCAUUAAUCUGGAUGAAACAGUAAAAUGAGCUUUCUGGAUGCCCUUCUAUUAGAGUAAAUGUGGUAAAUUUAACCUGUGAGGUUUGUCCCUUUAAUGUUAUUUUAUAUUUAAUCAUUUUUAUUCUGUUUGGUUUUUAGUAUUUUAUUCUGAUUCACACGACUUCACUACAAACUCCAGUGACAAACAGCUGAUCGGUGUUUUUGUGUGACUGUGUCUGUUUAGUCAUAUCAUGAGAAGUCUGUUAGCUUUAGCAGUCUGACUCACACACACACACUCACACACACACACACACACACACACUCACACACACACACACACACUCUGUCUGUUUACACAGAUUGAUUGGUGUGAGUUUCACUGACCGACAUUCACACUGUUGUAACAGGUUUAAAGACUGAAGAGAGUUUCAGUCACUCUCUCUGACACCUUUACAGUUUCUCACUUCUUAUUAAACUCUCUCUCUCUCUCUCUCUCUCUCUCUCUCUCUCUCUCUCUCUCUCUCUCUCUCUCUCUCUCUCUCUCUCUCUCUCUUCCUCUCUCUCUCUCUCUCUCUCUCUCCCUCUCUCUCUCUCUCUCUCUCUCUCUCAUUCAGCUGUAAUCCUAUGUGGCGUGCAGUAACCUUUUAUACCCAAUAAUACUUGUGUCAUGUUAAAGUAUAUAUCUGAGGACAUUAGCUGUGAGCGUCUGUUCGUCUGAUUUAUUCGCCGUGAGAUCUUUCACUCCUCUCCUUCACUCUUGUUCGGCUCUGCUUUUACACUUUUCUACAUAUUUAGUUUUAAAACUUUAGCUUUCAUGAAAAGUGUCCGUGCAGGAGCUCUGCUGUUGUUAAAAAUCUGUUUUACUCGUAUGUGUGUGUGUGUGUGUGUGUGUGUCACUCGUUAUGUAGACGACCCGACGCCGAGCGCUGCACCCCGAUGUAAAAGGCGUCCGGCGAGAAGUCAGAGAAAUGACAAUAAGGCGAAGUGCUGACCCGUGUGAUCGCACGUCUGAUGAGCGGCUCGCCGUCCCAAAUGCCAAACCUAAAAGGCAGGGUCAAAGGUCAGCCAGCAGAGAGGAGACGGGUUUAACCGUGGAAGAGCGUUCACCGUCUAGAACCGCAUUUAUGGUGUCAAAGAAAUAAGACUUCAGUUUGAGAGGAUGAGGAAAGGUCAGGCGGUUAUAUCGACCGCCAUGGCGCUCCUCUCUGUGUGAGGACGACCUGCUGCUUUGGUACCAAAACGUGGCGAACCUUUCGUGUUGACGUUUAACCGUCAAACGAGUCCUUAAAGAAAAAAAACUCAACCACUGAGGACGGCGUUUGUCCGUCACCGCCAACAGCUGAUGGAGCUGGAAGACCCCACGCCACUUUGGUCAGCGUCAGACCGUUGGUACUUUAGUGUAAGUUUCAGCGUGACGCCGGGCCGCUGAGUCAGCUGACAUGAGUCACAUUCGUAUUAAUGCUGGGACUAUUUUUAAUCCCAGAUUAAGAUGGAGGAGCAUCUCUGAGCGCCGUCUGCGUCUAAGAAUCAGAUUAAUGCAAAAACAUUUAUUUAUGAUUCUGAGUCAUAAUCAUUCAAAUAAACGCCGCCAUGACACGUCUGUGACUCAGCGUCAGUCGGCGCCAUUCACUCGUCUGUGGAGGUUCACACACACACAGAUAUGAAGCUCCUCCUGCUGAUGUCGGCGCCAUCAGCUCCAUCAGCUCCUCCUGAAGGUGUUCGCUCAGACUCAGACUCUUCAUCGAUAUUUUACUUUUAUUCGACUCAAACUUCGGUCUGAGAGGAUUUUGAACAGAAACUCAUUUAUGGUCGUAAUCAUCGUGAGAUCCUGUGGAGGUCAUUGACCUUCGUUUGUCUCCAUCAGCUGAUCACCUGCAGACCGAUAACAGGAACCACAGUCGUCUGAAUAUAAGGAUGGUCGUUGAAACACUCGGGUCUGUACAUGUUUGAUGGUUUUUAACCGGUUUGUAACCUGAGACCAUAGUCAACCUGGAUCAGGUCUAAGUGAAAGGUUUUUAGACGUCAUUUCACCCCGAUGACACCAUGGAUGAGGAGAUGCUGAUUCUAGAAGUCUAGAAGUAGAUUUCCUCCUCUGGAAGGACACAAUCUACUGCUUAUAUGUCUAUGUGUCUGUCUUUAGAGAGACAACUCGUUAUCGAGAGAUUGAACGUGAAUCUGCAGGUUCUUGUGAGUUCUCACGACUCCUCCUGUCUGUAAUCCAUCACGACAUUUGCCUCACAAGCAGAUCCGGUAGGAAUUGACGGAUGUGGUGAAAUUUUGGGUCCGACUCUUCAGGUGUCCCAGACUAACAUAACCAACGACAUAAAAGAGUUUAAACGUCUCUGUUACUUUUAUAUCAAAGUUUUUCUCACGUUUUCGUCUGAAUCAGAAAAGUUCGUCUCACUUUCUUACCUCAGGAUUUCCUCCGCCUCGGCAGGAUUAGCUCAAACGUCGGCGCCCUCACACGUGUGAUCAGACUCUCAGCACCGCCGUAUUGAUCCGACCGACUAAAAGCUGGCGGUGUUUGAGCGGGGGGGGGGGUCCUGUGUGAGUUGGUGUCAGAUUACGGAUUACUGAGUCCACCUCGGGGACGACACAGACCCGUCCUGAGUUACAGCUUAUUUGGCGGUUCCUCCGCGGUAAGCCCCUCGCAUUGAUCGCCCUUGCUCUCUGAAACUCGCUCUCUCUUUGCAUUUGUCUCCCUGAAGGCCGGACCUAAAUUACCUUCUCCCCUCCUUCACAAGUUCUGGUUCUGAUGUUGCCCUUAAAGCCCCACAAUGCUCAGCGGACUCGACAAAAUCACAAGGCUUUCAGCAGCUUUUUUGGCCUGUGUGGGAACAUUCUGACAGGAGCGCUCUGCAGCCUUUAAAGAGGAGAGAGAGAGUCAGAGGAGUGAAGACGGAGAAGAAGAAGAAGAAGAAGAAGAAGAAGAAGAAGAAGAAGAAGAAGAAGAAGAAGAAGAAGAAGAAUAGGAAGAAGAAGAAUAGGAAGAAGAAGAAGAAGAAGAAGAAGAGGAAGAAUAAGAAGAAUAGGAAGAAGAAGAAUAGGAAGAAGAAGAAGAAGAAGAAGAAGAAGAAGAAGAAGAAUAGGAAGAAGAAGAAUAGGAAGAAGAAGAAGAAGAAGAAGAAGAGGAAGAAUAAGAAGAAUAGGAAGAAGAAGAAUAGGAAGAAGAAGAAGAAGAAGAAGAAGAAGAAGAAGAAGAAUAGGAAGAAGAAGAAGAAGAAGAAGAAGAAGAAGAAGAAGAAGAAGAAGAAGAAGAAGAAGAAGAAGAAGAAGAAGAAGAAGAAGAAGAAGAAGAAGAAGAAGAAGAAGAAGAAGAAGAAGAAGAAGAAGAAGAAGAAGAAGAAGAAGAAGAAUAGGAAGAAGAAGAAGAAGAAGAAGAAUAGGAAGAAUAGG